rnacentral:rRNA from 1 species
CCAAUAGCGUAUAUUAAAGUUGUUGCAGUUAAAAAGCUCGUAGUUGAAUUUCGGGGUUAGUAGGUUGGUCAUGCCUCUGGUACGUACUGGUCUCACUGAUUCCUCCUUCCUGAUGAACCUUAAUGCCAUUAAUUUGGUGUUUUGGGGAAUUUGGACUGUUACUUUGAAAAAAUUAGAGUGUUUAAAGCAAGCUAACGCUU